rnacentral:rRNA from 1 species
UGAGACACUGCCCACACUCCUACGGGAGGCUGCAGUCGAGGAUCAUUCGCAAUGCGCGAAAGCGUGACGAUGCGACGCUGCGUGGAGGAUGACGGCCUUCGGGUUGUAAACUCCUGUCAUUUGGGAACAAUUGUUUCGGGGUUAAUAACCCCGGAGCCUGAUGGUACCAGAAGAGGAAGCCACGGCUAACUCUGUGCCAGCAGCCGCGGUAACACAGAGGUGGCGAGCGUUGUUCGGAUUUACUGGGCGUAAAGGGUGUGUAGGUGGUUUUGCAAGCUAGGUGUGAAAUCUCACUGCUCAGCGGUGAAACUGCAUUUAGAACUGCAGGACUAGAGUGCAGGAGGGGAAAGCAGAAUUCUUGGUGUAGCGGUGGAAUGCGUUGAUAUCAAGAAGAACACCGGUGGCGAAGGCGGCUUUCUGGAAUGCUACUGACACUGAAACACGAAAGUUGGGGGAGCAAACAGGAUUAGAUACCCUGGUAGUCCCAACCGUAAACGGUGUGAACUUGGUGUGGGGGGAUUUGACCCCCCCCGUGCCGGAGCUAACGCGAUAAGUUCACCGCCUGGGGAGUACGGCCGCAAGGCUAAAACUCAAAGAAAUUGACGGGGGCCCGCACAAGCGGAGGAGCAUGUGGCUCAAUUCGAUGCAACGCGAAGAACCUUACCAGGGCUUGACAUGCAGCUGCACGCCCGCUGAAAGGCGGGAAGCUUUCGAAGGUGCUGCACAGGUGCUGCAUGGCUGUCGUCAGUUCGUGCCGUGAGGUGUUGGGUUAAGUCCCGCAACGAACGCAACCCCUGUGUCUAGUUGCCACCGUAGGUGAUGAGCCUGCGAGCACUCUAGCCAGACUGCCCGUGCAAGCGGGAGGAAGGUGGGGACGACGUCAAGUCAGUAUGGCCCUUACGCCCUGGGCUGCACACGUGCUACAAUGGCUGGUACAAUGGGAAGCAAUACCGCGAGGUGGAGCCAAUCCAUAAAGCCAGUCCCAGUUGGGAUUGGAGUCUGCAAUUCGACUCCAUGAACGUGGAUUCGCUAGUAAUGGCGCAUCAGCUACGGCGCCGUGAAUACGUUCCCGGGCCUUGUACACACCUCCCGUCACAUCAUGAAAGCUUUUUGCACCCGAAGUCGCUGAUCCAACUCGCUUUUAGUGAGAGGAAGGCGCCGAAGGUGUGGGGAGUGAUUGGGAUGAAGUCGUAACAAGGUA